rnacentral:rRNA from 1 species
UACAGAGGGUGCGAGCGUUGUCCGGAAUCACUGGGCGUAAAGGGCGCGUAGGUGGCGCUGCAAGUCGGUGGUGAAAGCUCGUCGCUUAACGACGAGUCGGCCAUCGAAACUGCAGGGCUUGAGCACUGUAGGGGCUAAUGGAAUUCCGGGUGUAGCGGUGGAAUGCGUAGAGAUCCGGAAGAACACAAGUGGCGAAGGCGGUUAGCUGGGCAGUUGCUGACACUGAUGCGCGACAGCGUGGGGAGCAAACAGG